rnacentral:rRNA from 1 species
CCCUUAGAUGUCCUGGGCCGCACACGCGCUACACUGAGUGUCUGAGAUACGAGUCUGCCUGGUCCGGCAAGGUCUAGGUAAUCGCUAAAAGACACAUCAUGCUUGGGAUAGAUUAUUGCAAAUAUUAAUCUUGAACGAGGAAUUCCUAGUAAGCGCAAGUCAACAGCUUGCGUUGAUUACGUCCCUGCCCUUUGUACACACCGCCCGUCGCUACUACUGAUUGGAUGUUUAAGCGAGGUUCUCGAACUGCUAGCGACUUAGCUUCGGUGAGGUCGCAGUGUGGGAAGUGAACCUAGCUUUGGUGUCUAGAGGAAGUAAAAGUCGUAACA